AACUUUUGGAUCCAAACUUUUAGGGAGGGAUCUUAAGAUUUUAGUUACUAGUUCAAAGUUAGUAAAAUCUUUACCAAGAGCUUUGAGUCCAUUGAUGACAUCCGUAAACCAGGUGUACAUGUCUCCGAUGGACUCACUUGGUUUCAUUCGGAAAAGUUCGUAAGAGUGCACAAGGAUGUUGAUUUUGGACUCUUUCACUCGGCUAGUGCCUUCAUG
rnacentral:lncRNA from 1 species